rnacentral:misc_RNA from 1 species
GAUGAAGAACGUAGCGAAAUGCGAUAAGUAAUGUGAAUUGCAGAAUUCAGUGAAUCAUCGAAUCUUCGAACGCACAUUGCGCCCAUUAGUAUUCUAGUGGGCAUGCCUGUUCGAGCGUCAUUAAUUCCACUUAAGCCCUGCUUAGUGUUGGGAAUCUACUCUAGUGGUGCUACCCUGGAGCUACCCCUGAAAGGGGGCUGGCCCGGUAGCUACCCUGUAGUUCCUCAAAGAUAGUGCGCGGAGUUGCGUGGUCCUCUGAGCUUAGUAACUAUACACCUAGCUUUUGAGUGUCCCGCGGCGCCUGCCGUUUAAACCCCAUCUUUUAAUGGUUGACCUCGGAUCAGGUAGGAAUACCCGCUGAACUUAAGCAUAUCAAUAAGCGGAGGA